UACGUAGGGUGCGAGCGUUGCCCGGAUUUAUUGGGCGUAAAGGGCGCGUAGGCGGCCUGGCGCGUCGGCUGUGAAAUCUCCCGGCUCAACUGGGAGGGGACGGCCGAUACGGCUGGGCUUGAGCGAGGUAGGGGAGAGUGGAAUUCCCGGUGUAGUGGUGGAAUGCGUAGAGAUCGGGAAGAACAUCAGUGGCGAAGGCGGUCUGCUGGGCCGUUGCUGACGCUGAGGCGCGACAGCGUGGGGAGCAAACAGG
rnacentral:rRNA from 1 species